rnacentral:tRNA from 1 species
UCCCUGGUGGCUCAGAUGGUACAGAAUCUGCCUGCAAAGCAGGAGACCCUGGGUUUGAUCCCUGGGUUGGGAA